UUGCGCAUAAACCCUCCUUGGUUCACGCACACCGUACAUUCAUUUGGAACUGCGAGUCCAAGAACAUGAUUGCCCCCACAGUCAUCGUCGUCAUUCUUACAUAUUCGCAGCUAUGGGAUCCGGUGGAAUGCGGAUGCAGCUAUUCUGCAUGUGGAGCGGGUGUGACUGUCAACCUGAAAGAGCGAAUAAAGUACAACGAUCGUUUCCUCGACUGCUCCUACUAUCCCGAUCCUGAGGCCAGUUGUCCGUGCCGAGGUGCAGAGGAAGACGGGGCAAA